CGUCAGGACGAACGCUGGCGGCGUGCCUAAUACAUGCAAGUCGAACGGUCUUUCUAUGGAAGCUUGCUUCCACUGAGAAGAUAGUGGCGAACGGGUGAGUAACACGUGGGUAACCUGCCCAUAAGAGGGGGGAUAACAUCCGGAAACGGGUGCUAAUACCGCAUAGUUUUCUUGAUCGCAUGAUUGAGAAAGGAAAGACGGCCUUUGUGCUGUCGCUUAUGGAUGGACCCGCGGCGUAUUAGUUAGUUGGUGAGGUAACGGCUCACCAAGACGAUGAUACGUAGCCGACCUGAGAGGGUGAUCGGCCACAUUGGGACUGAGACACGGCCCAAACUCCUACGGGAGGCAGCAGUAGGGAAUCUUCCGCAAUGGACGAAAGUCUGACGGAGCAACGCCGCGUGAGUGAAAGAAGGUUUUCGGAUCGUAAAACUCUGUUGUCAGAGAAGAACAAGUUGGAGAGUAACUGCUCCAGCCUUGACGGUAUCUGACCAGAAAGCCACGGCUAACUACGUGCCAGCCGCGGC
rnacentral:rRNA from 1 species